UACGUAGGGUGCAAGCGUUGUCCGGAAUUAUUGGGCGUAAAGAGCUCGUAGGCGGUCUGUCGCGUCUGCUGUGAAAACCCGGGGCUCAACCCCGGGCUUGCAGUGGAUACGGGCAGACUAGAGUUCGGUAGGGGAGACUGGAAUUCCUGGUGUAGCGGUGAAAUGCGCAGAUAUCAGGAGGAACACCGAUGGCGAAGGCAGGUCUCUGGGCCACUACUGACGCUGAGAAGCGAAAGCAUGGGGAGCGAACAGG
rnacentral:rRNA from 1 species